rnacentral:rRNA from 1 species
GCCCCUUACGCUCUGGGCGACACACGUACUACAAUGGUCGGGAAAGAGGGCAGCUAACCUGCGAAGGCAAGCUAAUCCCAGAAACUCGGCCUCAGUUCAGAUCGCAGGCUGCAACUCGCCUGCGUGAAGGAGGAAUCGCUAGUAAUCGCCGGUCAGAAUACGGCGGUGAAUCCGUUCCCGGGCCUUGUACACACCGCCCGUCACACCAUGGAAGCUGGCCACGCCCGAAGUCGUUACCCUAACCUUUAGGGGAGGGGGACGCCGAAGGCAGGGUUGGUGACUGGGGUGAAGUCGUAACAAGGUAGCCGUACCGGAAGGUGUGGCUGGAUCACCUCCUUUUU